GUCAAGACCCGAAGGUGGCCCGACUAAUCCCCUGCGCCUGGAGUACAGCACCACCCCAACCGCACCCAGGCGUUAAGUGAGGUUCGACCCCACGACCUGCGAGUGCCGGAAGCAGCCACAGACCGCGUGAUCUAGCCCCGGGGUGAAAUAGCUUAUAUACUAUAUACAAUAUUACAAGAUGCAACAAAUGUAAGAAGAACCUCCGUAAGCGACUUAUGGUUUCAGAGGCAUACCCUGAUCUGUGACAGUGAUCGGAGCCGAACCCACUUAAACUUUUUUUAAAAAAAAAAAAAAACAAAGAUGUGACAAAUGCGCCAAAAAGUAAAUAGUGUUGUUACUACUUUUCUUGAUUGUACUAAACUCGUUGUUCAUGAUUCAAUUGAACCUUCCCUGUCAAUUAAUUUCAAUUUCUCUUGUAACCUCAAAUUCAACACCAUUCUACAUGUGCCUAGAAUACAUUUACUAAUUCGCUUAUCCAUCGUUUUCAUUUGCAGAUUCAAAGAACUUGCUUCCGUUUAAUCCAUCAUCAAGCAAUUUGAAAAAGGGGUCCUUCAUCUCCAUCACAACACUUUUUCUUCUUUGUAUAAUUUGCGUGUAUUUUCUCAAUUCUUCAUAUCUGAGGAUGUAUUUCUGUUUUUCAAUCCGCAUUACUAUGAUUGUUACUAUGUGAAAGAAGGAUUCUACUGUGUUAGUAAUAGGUACCUUUUCGGGGGUUAGCGUUGUUUUUCAAAUGUGAAGUCUACCGACACCAAAUCGUCAAGAAUGGUAGGGUCCAUGUACAAAUUUGACUCUUACGAAAAGAUUCAAAACUCUGGAAGUGAACAAA